rnacentral:rRNA from 1 species
GCGGACGGGUGAGUAAUGCCUAGGAAUCUGCCUGGUAGUGGGGGAUAACGUUCGGAAACGGACGCUAAUACCGCAUACGUCCUACGGGAGAAAGCAGGGGACCUUCGGGCCUUGCGCUAUCAGAUGAGCCUAGGUCGGAUUAGCUAGUUGGUGAGGUAAUGGCUCACCAAGGCGACGAUCCGUAACUGGUCUGAGAGGAUGAUCAGUCACACUGGAACUGAGACACGGUCCAGACUCCUACGGGAGGCAGCAGUGGGGAAUAUUGGACAAUGGGCGAAAGCCUGAUCCAGCCAUGCCGCGUGUGUGAAGAAGGUCUUCGGAUUGUAAAGCACUUUAAGUUGGGAGGAAGGGUUGUAGAUUAAUACUCUGCAAUUUUGACGUUACCGACAGAAUAAGCACCGGCUAACUCUGUGCCAGCAGCCGCGGUAAUACAGAGGGUGCAAGCGUUAAUCGGAAUUACUGGGCGUAAAGCGCGCGUAGGUGGUUUGUUAAGUUGGAUGUGAAAUCCCCGGGCUCAACCUGGGAACUGCAUUCAAAACUGACUGACUAGAGUAUGGUAGAGGGUGGUGGAAUUUCCUGU